GCUGCCUCCAGAGGCUUUACCCUUGUGGCUGCUGUGUCACAAGUGUAUCAGGAGGUGGCAGAGAGGAGAGAGACUAUGUCUAUACUCAGUGUUCUGACCUGUAUACGUCUGAAUGGUUAGUAGACUAACACU
ensembl:snoRNA LOC120094910 small nucleolar RNA SNORA17